GACGAACGCUGGCGGCGUGCUUAACACAUGCAAGUCGAACGGAAAGGCCCUGCUUUUGUGGGGUGCUCGAGUGGCGAACGGGUGAGUAACACGUGAGUAACCUGCCCUUGACUUUGGGAUAACUUCAGGAAACUGGGGCUAAUACCGGAUAGGAACUCCUGCUGCAUGGUGGGGGUUGGAAAGUUUCGGCGGUUGGGGAUGGACUCGCGGCUUAUCAGCUUGUUGGUGGGGUAGUGGCUUACCAAGGCUUUGACGGGUAGCCGGCCUGAGAGGGUGACCGGCCACAUUGGGACUGAGAUACGGCCCAGACUCCUACGGGAGGCAGCAGUGGGGAAUAUUGCACAAUGGGCGGAAGCCUGAUGCAGCAACGCCGCGUGCGGGAUGACGGCCUUCGGGUUGUAAACCGCUUUCGCCUGUGACGAAGCGUGAGUGACGGUAAUGGGUAAAGAAGCACCGGCUAACUACGUG
rnacentral:rRNA from 1 species